CCGAAUCCGAGAUCCACACCUCAAAAUUCUACUUUCGAUUUAUUUACGACGAAAAUCAAGCUCGGGUCUUUUCACCCCCCUCCAGACAAAAACACGCAUCAAUAUUUCAAAUGACAUCGCAAUGUUACCAAACCUGUGUAGUCAGACAUCUCACACAUCGUUCCUCAUCUCAUACAAAAAUUCAGCUCCUCUCCCGGGCGGAAACGCCCCAAAUUCAAAGAGAAAUUCGGGAAUUAUUUCGCGUCAGCCAUGUUUUGACGUGAACCUUUGCUGAAAUACUGCUAUGACACCUGCAAAGGCCUCGCCGGAGUUAAAAUUUCUUCUUUCUCUCUAUUUUUUUCUCUCCAUUUUUUUUUUUUUUUUUUUUUUUUUAUUUUCUUACUAAAAUAUUCAACAUAAAGGGGUUGUUGGACUGUAGUACAAGUUGAAAACACUCGUACAUUAAGAUUUAGGCAAAAACAGUCUUUAAUUAUUAGGGUCUUCCGUCUUCAGCGGAAGGCCCUUCUAUUAUUCUAUUGUUUCUUUUUCACUUUUCUUAUUCUUAUUAUUAGGGUCUUCCGUCUUCAGCGGAAGACCCUUCUAUUAUUCUAUUGUUUCUUUUUCACUUUUCUUAUUCUUAUUAUUAUUAGGGUUUUCCGUUUUUCAACGGAAAACCCUUCUGUUAUUCUACUGUUUCUUAUUAUUAUUUUUUUUUUCCCGCAAAUUUUGUGCACGAGAUUUCUCGAACAUUUUUUGUCUGAUUGCUAUGAAACUUUCAGGGUAUGUAGAUGAUAUUAAUAUCUCUAGACGUUUUUUUCAAAUUUUUAAAAUUCACUUCCGGUUAUGAGUUAUUGCCCUUUAAUUGAAAAUUGGGGGGUCUUUUGUCCAGAGUUGAUCUCGGGAACUACAGAUGAUAGAUGCAUGAAAUUUGGCGAAAUUGUCGUUAACAUUUUAUAAUUUUGCUGGCAUGAAAAUUUUGGUAAUUUCUUUGUUAGUUUUUGAGCUAUUUGUCGCCAAAGUUUAAGAUUUUUUCGGGGCUGAAAUUUUGUUGCUUUUUGUAUUAUAACCUUUAAACUAAAAAUAUUUUGUUAAUACAUAUAGAACAAAAGUUGUUUAGAAUAACGAGAGCUUUCAUUUAAAAUUAAGAAAAAAGGGCUGGCCCCUAUAAUUAGGGGUCAGCAGCUCAUACACGUAUUUUUCUGAUAGCAAAAAUCGUUAUCAUUUUAUGAAAAAAAAUUAAUUUAGUUAUUGUUAAUAUAUUAAAUAAUGUCAUUUGGUAUCAAAUUAAACAAGUUCUGUCCUAUAUUUUUUUUCAAAUUUCAUAAAACAAAUAUGUGAGAAUCGUACAUGAACGAGUUAAUAUGUCUACAUAGACACACAAGCGAACAAAUGCCACAUUAAGGCCCAGGCAUUUACUGCAUUACGUUGUGUUGCGUCUUAGAUAAAUUGUUGUGAUUCAAUUUCAUUUUUUUCAUCUAUAUCAUUUAUGAAUUCAAUGAACACACAUUAUUUAAACGUUCUAUGUGCAACUAUUUGUCGGGGCGCCCCUGUUUGUGACCCCCGCGCGCGCGCCGAAUGUAAACAGUAACGAACGGCAUUGUAGAAAAGAGAGAGCCGUAAUGCAGAAGAGAAGUUGUGUAUUCUUUCGGUGUACACAUGCAUUUUCAAUUUGCUGUGAAACAUAUGAACAUGCACAGGGAACAAUAUUACAUAUUUGUUUAAGGAGGAUAUUUUUCUCGUGUGAAUCGUUUACGAGGAAAUUCUGACAGCCACACUUCUGUCGACCAUGGUCGACGAUCAGCCGUUGAUAAGCUACGAGUAAUAAAGGAGAAAAGAUGGACAUUAAAGUGUGUGAUUUAUGUGGAUGUUACUGAAGAAGCUCAAAACAGACUCUUGUUACCACAUGGCUUUUACCGGUACCUGUUGAUUCUUGUGGGUCAGCUCCUGAGAUUAACCUGUCACCUCUAUCCACAUGCAUAUUCCUUGUGUUCUACAGACUAUUUACUGGUAAUUCAAAUUAAAUCCGAUAAUGCAUGAACAAUAAUGGAACUUGAAGAAAGCAUCAUGCCAUGUUGUGGUUUGUGUUUGAUAAGAAAUUAUGAAAACAAAAUUAAGGCUGUUUAAAGAAAUUCAUAAUUGCUGUGAAAAUUUGUUUUUCAAUAAAAGUAUACAAUUAUG